UACGUAGGGUGCGAGCGUUAAUCGGAAUUACUGGGCGUAAAGCGUGCGCAGGCGGUUCGUUAAGUCAGCUGUGAAAGCCCCGGGCUCAACCUGGGAACGGCAGUUGAAACUGGCGGGCUGGAGUGUGGCAGAGGGGGGUGGAAUUCCACGUGUAGCAGUGAAAUGCGUAGAGAUGUGGAGGAACACCGAUGGCGAAGGCAGCCCCCUGGGCCAACACUGACGCUCAGGCACGAAAGCGUGGGGAGCAAACAGG
rnacentral:rRNA from 1 species